GAAAACCACUGGCUUGGUCCAUACUCCUCGUCAUCUACGGCUUUAGGUGCAGUACCAAGUGCUGUACAGGCAUUGUCUUCGCGGAUGCACCUGCUGCGACCUCACAUUAAAAGGAGAAACGGACGCUGAUCAGGGAGGAAAAGACCCUGCCCGAGGACCCUGGAAGAGCUGGUUCGCAAAGUGUGAUCCCUGGAACAGCAGCAUUAAGAAAGGCAGCUUGUCAGAAAGGCACCUUCUGGAUUCCUAACCCAGACCCCAGAAGCUCAGGGGGUGAACCCAGCUUUCUGUGUUUUAACAAGCCCUCCAGGUGACUCUGAUGCUUGGUAGAGUUUGAGAACCAGUGGGCGACAGCAUGGUGUCAUAGGGCUUGAGUUUGCAUAGUAAAAAUAUCCACAGCAGCUGAUGCUAACUGGGCUGAUUACUGCCCGGCUCUGAGCCCGGUGCUGAGCUACGCACUUUACAUGAACCAUCGAGUGCAAGGUUCUCCUCCUGCCUGAACACUGGAGCCAAUGAGGAUCUUUUGAAACAUCCUGAUGCUUGGGCCCAACUCAGACAAACAGAAUGCAGAUGGCCUGGCGGAGAUCUAGGCAAAUUGGUACUUUUUAAAAUCUCCCCAGGAGAUUCUGAUUCACAGGGAGGGUUCAGAGCACACUUUUGGUCCCAUCUCUGAUGCCCUUCAGCUGUGUGGCUGUGGGAACAGUGCCAAAGCUCACCCUCCCAGCCUUGCUUUCUGCAUCUGUAAAAUGGGGAUGACGAUCCUAGCCUCUCACCUCCCAAGGUUGUCACAUGCAAUAAAUUAAAUAAAAGAUGUAAAAUCUUA
rnacentral:lncRNA from 1 species